rnacentral:rRNA from 1 species
AAACUCAAAGGAAUUGACGGGGGCCCGCACAAGCGGUGGAGCAUGUGGUUUAAUUCGACGCAACGCGCAGAACCUUACCAACCCUUGACAUCCCGGUCGCGAUUUCCAGAGAUGGAUUUCUUCAGUUCGGCUGGACCGGAGACAGGUGUUGCAUGGCUGUCGUCAGCUCGUGUCGUGAGAUGUUGGGUUAAGUCCCGCAACGAGCGCAACCCUCGCCUUUAGUUGCCAUCAUUUAGUUGGGCACUCUAGAGGGACUGCCGGUGAUAAGCCGGAGGAAGGUGGGGAUGACGUCAAGUCCUCAUGGCCCUUACGGGUUGGGCUACACACGUGCUACAAUGGCGGCGACAAUGGGCAGCGAAGGGGCGACCCGGUGCAAAUCCCAAAAAGCCGUCUCAGUUCGGAUUGUACUCUGCAACUCGAGUGCAUGAAGGUGGAAUCGCUAGUAAUCGCGUAACAGCAUGACGCGGUGAAUACGUUCCCGGGCCUUGUACACACCGCCCGUCACACCAUGGGAGUUGGUUUUACCCGAAGCUGGUGCGCUAACCGCAAGGAGGCAGCCAACCACGGUAAGGUCAGCGACUGGGGUGAAGUCGUAACAAGGUAGCCCUAGGGGAACCUGGGGCUGGAUCACCUCCUUUCUG